rnacentral:lncRNA from 1 species
AUUCGCUCAUGAAAGAGAACUAGAAGGGGGUGGUUGAAGAGGGGACCAACUCCAGCUGGGCCCGAUUCGCUCAUGAAAGAGAACUAGAAGGGGGAGGUUGAAGAGGGGACCAACUCCAGCUGGGCACUUACUCCAAACACCAUGGCCUUUUAGAUACGAAUUCUCGCCCGAUGGUGGCGACCCUACUUAUCCACAGCACAAUGGCCAAGCUUUGCUUGAAAGUCUUCUAAGAAGGAGAGAGUUCUUAGAAUCCUAUUAUGAGAGUGAAACUAUCUACAAAAGAAUAUAACUAAAAGAGAACAACUAUCUUAUCUACUCUCUAAAUCAAAGAGCAACUAGCAAAUAACAAUUAAGAAGGAGGGGAGGGUAAGGGGCUAGUGUGAGG